rnacentral:rRNA from 1 species
GACGAACGCUGGCGGCGUGGAUUAGGCAUGCAAGUCGGACGGUAGAGCUUUAUCGUAAGAUAGAGUUUGAGAGUGGCGAACGGGUGAGUAACACGUAGGAAUCUACCCUUAAGACGGGGACAACCCAGGGAAACUUGGGCUAAUACCGGAUGAGAGUGCGAGAGAUUGCAUUUAAAAGGAUGGCGAAAGUUGUCGCUUAGGGAUGAGCCUGCGGUCUAUUAGUUAGUUGGUGAGGUAAGAGCUCACCAAGGCGAUGAUAGAUAGGCGGCCUUAACGGGUGGUCGCCCACACUGGGAUUGAGAUACGGCCCAGACUCCUACGGGAGGCAGCAGUAGGGAAUAUUGCGCAAUGGGGGGAACCCUGACGCAGCGACGCCGCGUGAGCGAAGAAGGCCUUCGGGUCGUAAAGCUCUGUCCUAUGGGAAGAAUAGGACGGUACCAUAGGAGGAAGACCCCGGCUAACUACGUG